UACGGGGGGGCAAGCGUUGUUCGGAAUUACUGGGCGUAAAGGGUUCGUAGGUGGCCUGCUAAGUCAGACGUGAAAUCCCUCAGCUUAACUGGGGAACUGCGUCUGAGACUGGUGGGCUUGAGUGCAGGAGAGGAACGCGGAAUUCCAGGUGUAGCGGUGAAAUGCGUAGAUAUCUGGAGGAACACCGGUGGCGAAGGCGGCAUCCUGGACCGGUAUUGACGCUGAGGCGCGAAAGCCAGGGGAGCAAACGGG
rnacentral:rRNA from 1 species